UGACAAAAAAAAGAAAUGAAAAUCUAUUUCUAUCUGAACCAAAUCAAACCACCAAACCAAACUCUCUAUUCUCUCUUUUCUCUACUCUUACAAAGCUAUCUGUAAUGUCCCAAGUCUUUUUUACUACCGUACCCUCUAAUUUUAUCAAAAUUCCUAAAUUAUCCUUAUUCCUUCUUCCCAACCCUAACUCUAAUUUUUGUCCAUACUUAACCUCUUCUAACACACACACAGCUGAGAAGGAAAGAAGGGAAAACAGAGAGGGGAAACUGAGGGGGAGAAGAAAGGAAGAAGAGGGGGAAGGAGGACGACGCCGGUUAGGGCCACACUGUUGUUGCUGUCGUCAUGGUGGCUGCGUGAGGAAGACCGUCGCCGUGGCUGAGGGGAGCCCGAGGAGAGAGAAGAGAACGCACGGGGAAGAGAGAGCCAUGACGAAAGAGGAGGGAGGUUUCGUCGCCGUCACUGCCGGAGCCUAGCCGCCGCCGUUGAAGCUAGCUUCGCCGUCAUCAAACCACUGUGCCACCGAGGAGGCCGGAGAGAGAGAGAGAGAGAGAGGGACUUUGCGAAGGGGAAAGGAGAACGUGGCAGAGCUUGUCGCCGGGAAAAGGGGUACCGGUGGUGCAUGUUGUCGCUGCUGCUGUCGUUGCUAGGGAAGGAGGUCACCGUCGAGUUGCACGCGGCUGCUGGCAAAGUUGCCUCUGCUUCCGGUUUAAGCAUCCUACCGGAGCUUAUGUUGCCGUUACUGUUGAAGUGCCUUUAUUCUGUUCUAGCCGCUAUAGGUGUGAUUAUUGCAAUGUUGCUGCGGGAUUAGUCCGAGUUGUUGCCAUCACUGUGUUCUUUCCAUCUAUCCUAUUCCAACCAUCCUCAUCUUUUAAUUUGGCAUUCCGGAUUUGGUCUUUUCGGUCCUUCAGGACCAAGUUAUGCAUCUGGCUCAGACCUCAGCUAGCAGGGGCGUUGCUAGCCUAACGUGUAGGCCACACGUUGGAUCUGUUAUUCCGUACGGACACGCUAGAGGAAAGGGCUACCCUUAGAGGUGGAGCCGCCCAAGUGUGGACUAUUUGAUUUGAUUUCUGUAUGAGAACUCCCUUAUUGAUUCACUUAUUCAUAUAAAUUAUUAUUUUCUAACUAAAAUUAUUUUCAUAAUAAUGUUUAGAUGGUCUCAUGUGAAUUAUAGAUGUACUGUCUAGUCACUGAGUUGCAAAACUCACCCCUUUUUCUUAAAAAAUAUUUUUUCAGAAAAAAGUAUUUGAUUAUGUGAGCCUUUCUAUUCAAGAGUAAUGAUCUGCAAUGGGUUCUAUUCCUUGUUGACUUCUUAGGCAUCAUCUGCUCCAUAUGUCACAGGCAGGAUCCAUUUAUAUUUAUUUAUUUUGUUUUUGUUCAAUUAUGAAAUUAUUCAUUUUAGAAAGUUUAAAUUUGUCAAAAAUUAUUUGUAACAUUUUUAUUUAUCUUAUAUUCGAAUCUGUUAGGCUUGCUAGGGAACUCUUUUUCCUGAGCGCCAGUCAUGGCUCAUUUUGGGCUGUGACACUAUCUGUUGAAUAUUCAGUUUUCUCAAUUUAUCUUUCUUUGUUUCAAUAAAAAAAAAAAAGCAUUAAUGUGAGGAAUUAAGAAAAAGUUAUUGAGUGAAAAAAGACAAAAAAAGUUAGACUUGGAGAAAAGUCAAAUGUUUAUUUCAGAUAUUCUUUGUAUGUUUUUCUGUUUUGUAUUCAAGAUCAUGAGGGGAUUCUCUUAUUAAAUUGGAUGAGCACUUAGUGGUUGCAAAUCUAGAGAGUAAACCUAGUUAAAUCUGGUUUGGAUAGGAAUUGGAUUUAUCCCAGAUAGGAUUGGGUUGAAUUUUAGAAAAAUUAGUGUUUAUAAUCUUUGAAAUAUAGUUGAAAUUCCACCACUAUUGUGGGAAAUACUAGAUAUAAGUCACAUUGCACUUGGCUGAACUAGGAUAUAUGGUAGUGUGAUUUUCUCUUUUCUACUCUCUGAUUUUCUGCCAUAAAAGAUAAAACAAAAUUGUCUCCUGAAAUAUCUGUACCUCUGUAUUCACUGCUAUCCUCAAGCUACAAAGUUGCUCUGUUCCAGAACGUUCGUGUAGAGACAAACUAAAAUUGUCUACUGAAUUUUUACUUAGCAAUCUAAACAGCAACUAUGUUCUCAUUCAAAUCAGAAGUUGAACCAAAAGAAGUCAUAAAUUCAACUCUCUUUUUUAGGUCAUUCACAAACCUUCAAUUGAUAUCAAAGCGCGAUUGACCAAUACUGUUAAUUUAGACAGAGCAUUAAUGAAAACUCUCUUUUGUGACUGUGUCACCCAAGCGAGAUUCUUUGCUCAUUGGUGUGGGUGAAUCGAUAGAGACGAUUACUCGCUAGCCUGAUAGGUGCAAUUGAUGUGGGUGACAUAGUGGGAUAACUAUGAUCAGCUUCACUAUGACUUGCUGGGUAUUUAGAUUGUUAUCAUGGCAGACGUGUAUGGCCAAAUGCCACAAUGAGGGCGUUUUGAGUAUGUGAAAGGGAACCUGAUACUGCCAAGUUUCCCACACUCAAAAGAGGUUGGACACUUUUCACUGCUCUCAGCUAUCACAUGAACUACAAACACAAACUGACACAUAGUCAGAGUUUUCAACAGAAAAAGGGGAGCCAUUUGGAAAGUAGGCAAGAUACUAUGAGGUCAUUUAGUUGCAAGGAUUGUGAUGCAUAUACUUAUUACAUUACCUGGUGUUGGCUAAAAAUAAUUUAAAUUUGAUGAUGAACAAGUCGAAGAUAUUUGUCUGAAUUAUGUUGAAAAAGUACUCAAGGUGAUUGAAGAAAAAUCAUGGAUGAGCAAGCUAGGUUAAUCGAAGAUGUAUAUCGAAAAUGAGGAUAUGUAAUCGAAGUAACCGGGAGACCAGUAAUCGAGAUAGUUGAAGACGGUUAUCACACUAUUGUUGUGGCGAGAACAGUUAUGUUUAGUUCCUUUGUAUGUGGAGCAUGUGAAGGAAUUUUGAUUGGAUGAAAAUGACUAUACAUUGACAUAGCUUUGAAAGAAUAAGAGUUAGAAUUUGUUUUCAAAUAAUAUUCUCGUACAUUCAUAUUUCCAGCGACUUUCUGAGUCUGCAAAGAACUUUCUUUUUUGUAAGAUUCUUUCCAUGUCUUUAAUAUUUCUUUUAAAUUUCUUGUAAUCUUUCUCUUUCUGUAAAUUUACUUUUCUACAAAGUUUUUUCUUUUCUUUCUUUUAACAUUGCUGCAUUUGUAUUUGAAUUU